CUUCUCAGUCGUCGUCACGGGUUCCGGUUGCUAGAAACCUGAUCAUCGUCCCCAUUUCUUCUUGAAAAUCAUCUGUUUCGCUGUGAAAAUUCACUUGUACUCUCAACUUCGUGCUCCAGAGACGGAGGAGCUGCGGAGCAGAUGCAGGACGAGAAUCCCUAGGGAAGCAACCAUUGGGCAGGGAAAGUGUACCGACGGGGAUUGGGUCUCUAAGUAUGGACUCGAAGGACAGCAAACUAACGGUAUUUGGCGAUUUCGACCCAGUCAAGGUGGUGAACAAACUGAGGAAAUCUUGGCAUACAGAUAUUGUGAGUGUUGGACCAGCUAAGGAAGACGAUGGGAAGAAAGACGGGGGCAAGAAAGAAGAGGGCAAGAAGGACAAUCAAGUCACCAAUCUCAUAAAAGCCUAUCAAACAUAUGUGCCCUGCCAAGAAGCCGUGGAUUGCGUCAUAUGUUAAAACUCUUUGUGCUUCCAGACCGAUUUAGGACUUGGUUUGUGCACUAGGAUUGAAUAAGUAAGGUUGAUUAUGCCUUAUGAACACAAGAACAAGUGGAGUACCAUUUCUAGAAUAUUAGGGCUAUAUUGCGUCUUUUCGUACUUGUAUGCAAGUAGGGUGUAUCUGUAGAGAGAUUGUUCCUCAGUUGAGGAACUCAAGGUAUGGAAGAUCGAUUAUUCCUCAAACGAUUGUAUUCAGGGAAUGGAAUAUGUAGUGGGUGUUUUAAACUCUUUUUUGCUUGAUAUAUUAAACAAUCUGCGGGCAAAAACAGCUAUCCUUCAUAUCAA